rnacentral:lncRNA from 1 species
UAAAUUGGAGGGGCCGGCCCAGUGGGGUAGCGGUUAAGUUCACGUGCUCCACUUCGCCAGCCCAGGGUUUGCCAGUUCAGAUCCCGGGUGUGGACCUACACAUGGCUCAUCAAGCCAUGCUGUGGCGGCAUCCCACAGACGAAAUAGAGGAAGAUUGGCACAGAUGUUAGCUUAGGGCUGGUCUUCCUCAACGAAAAAAUUAAAAAAUAAAGAGUAAAUUGGAGAUAUAACACUUGAGAAUAAUGAUUGAAUCCCAAGUUUACUAUCUUUAAGUCAUGUCAGCUGAAAGAGAAAUGAUAUUUUCCACCUGCUACCUGCUGUCUCUGGGUAUGCCCAGGACAGAGACUUCAGAAAGAAAUUCCUGGAGUUCUCAAAACAGAAGAUGGAGACGUGUAAGGAGAAGAAUGAGGAGGAGGAAGAGAAUCUUCAUAUCAAAUGAAUUCAAGCCACCGAGUCUACCGGACCUAUCACUACCUACAUCUUUUUUCUGCCUUUGAACAAUGUACCCACAAUGACAGUGAAAAAUUGAGCAAUCCUGAACCCAGGGUUGGGAGGGUUGUUUCUCAAGCUGUGAAAUAUGUAAGUAUUAAGAGCAGUCUGUCACAUUAGCCCCCAUUCUCAUGUUUUAUGAAAUAAUUGUACCACUCAAUUCCUCCCUUAUGACUCAUGAAGAAACAAAGUCCUCCUUUAGGAAUCCCUUUCAUGGUUCUUUGUAAAUAUCUGAGUUAAGAGCAGUUCAUACCAUAAUACUUACUCUUCUUCCGUGUUCUGGUGUUUAGGCCUAGGUCAAAUUUAUGAAAUAAAAAUGUGGACAUAAACA